rnacentral:rRNA from 1 species
AUUGAACGCUGGCGGCAGGCUUAACACAUGCAAGUCGAACGAGUGGCGGACGGGUGAGUAAUGUAUGGGAAACUGCCCGAUGGAGGGGGAUAACUACUGGAAAGGGUAGCUAAUACCGCAUACCAUCGGAUCGGCCCAUAUGGGAUUAGCUAGUGGGUGGGGUAAAGGCUCACCUAGGCGACGAUCCCUAGCUGGGCUGGGAGGAUGACCGGCCACACUGGAACUGAGAAACCGUCCAGACUCCUACGGGAGGCAGCAGUCGGGAAUAUUCGGCAAUGGGCGAAAGUCUGACACAGCAAUGCCGCGUGUGUGAAGAAGGUUUUCGGGUUGUAAAGCACUUUUAUCGGAGAAGCGUUAUCUGCAGAAGAAGCACCGGCUAACUCCGUGCCAGCAGCCGCGGUAAUAC